GGUUGGCCAAAAAAUUCGUUUGGGUUUUUCCAUAUGAUCUUAUGGGAAACCGAACAAACUUUUUGGCCAACC
rnacentral:miRNA from 1 species